rnacentral:rRNA from 1 species
AUGGAGUGGAGCUUCCUCUGCUCGAGAUGCCAUGGAUCUUGUGCUCGUCAAGGUCCUUCUUCCUCCAGCACAAGGAAAAGCAGAAGCAUCCGCCGCAUCAAGGAAACUUCGACAGGGAGAUCCAUAGUACGGAGAAGGUACUACGGAACCCGAAGAAGGUACUACGGAUCCUCUUCAUCUAUGGAGCCCGAAGAAGGUACUACUGAGAAGGUACUACGGAUCUUCCUCUGCAGGGCCGGCAACUUCUACUACCCGCCCGAAUGGAGCCUGAAGAAGGGUGGGCUGAACAAGUUCCAUGGCCAACAUGCCCUCAGGGAGCUGGCGAGGAAGCUGGACCAGGGCAUGCUGAUCAUAAGGUCUGGUUCCUGUGAUAUUACAUGCUUUCGUAUAUGA